GCCUUCGUGGUGUAGUGGUCAGCACGCUGGGCGCGUAAUCCAAAGGAGCAUGGUUCGAGUCCCGGCGAAGGCG
rnacentral:tRNA from 1 species